AAGAGGGAAAAGCUCACAGUUGGAACCUGUCUGACCUAGUCAGUCCGGAUUGUAAACUGAAAAAGUGUUUUCCAGGCUAGCCGAGUAAAAAAGUUCCUUGGAAUAGGACAUCAUGGAGGGUGAGAAUCCCGUCUUUGGCUUGAGCAUAGUCUUUUGUGUUGCACUUUAAAGAGUCAGGUUGUUUGGGAAUGCAGCCUAAAGUGGGAGGUAAAUCCCUCCUAAAGCUAAAUAUUGGCGGAAGACCGAUAGCAAACAAGUACCGUGAGGGAAAGAUGAAAAGAACUUUGAAAAGAGAGUUAAACAGUAUGUGAAAUUGCUAAAAGGGAAGCGUUUGGAGACAGACUGGUUGGUCUGAAAUCAGCCUGGACUUUGGUCUUGGUUUACUUUCAGGCUAUUUACCUGCCAACAGCAGUUUGGACUCGGUGAAAAAACUGGUAGUAAGGUGGCUCCUCCGGGAGUGUUAUAGACUACUGGAAAAUAACCUUGUCUAGACUGAGGAAUGCAAUACGGCUUGACUUGUGGUCAUGCAGAGUGGAUUUGAACCUUUGUUCGUUGAAGCUUUGCAAGGGUUGUAAGAACUGUAUUUAGGUUGUUGGCUUAAUGUCUCUAAACGGCCCGUCUUGAAACACGGACCAA
rnacentral:rRNA from 1 species